GAUCCUGGCUCAGGAUGAACGCUAGCUACAGGCUUAACACAUGCAAGUCGAAGGGGAAACGACAUCGAAAGCUUGCUUUUGAUGGGCGUCGACCGGCGCACGGGUGAGUAACGCGUAUCCAACCUGCCCAUCACUUGGGGGAUAACCUUGCGAAAGUAAGACUAAUACCCAAUGACGUCUCUAGAAGACAUCUGAAAGAGAUUAAAGAUUUAUCGGUGAUGGAUGGGGAUGCGUCUGAUUAGCUUGUUGGCGGGGUAACGGCCCACCAAGGCGACGAUCAGUAGGGGUUCUGAGAGGAAGGUCCCCCACAUUGGAACUGAGACACGGUCCAAACUCCUACGGGAGGCAGCAGUGAGGAAUAUUGGUCAAUGGGCGAGAGCCUGAACCAGCCAAGUAGCGUGCAGGAAGACGGCCCUAUGGGUUGUAAACUGUCUUUUAUAGGGGAAUAAAGUGAGCCACGUGUGGUUUUUGCAUGUACCCUAUGAAUAAGGACCGGCUAAUUCCGUG
rnacentral:rRNA from 1 species